CGACCGCGUGAACGAUGAAGGCCUUCGGGUCGUAAAGUUCUGUUGUCAGGGAAGAACAAGUAUCGGAGUAACUGCCGGUACCUUGACGGUACCUGACCAGAAAGCCACGGCUAACUACGUGCCAGCAGCCGCGGUAAUACGUAGGUGGCAAGCGUUGUCCGGAAUUAUUGGGCGUAAAGCGCGCGCAGGCGGUUCCUUAAGUCUGAUGUGAAAGCCCCCGGCUCAACCGGGGAGGGUCAUUGGAAGCUGGGGAACUUGAGUGCAGAAGAGGAGAGCGGAAUUCCACGUGUAGCGGUGAAAUGCGUAGAGAUGUGGAGGAACACCAGUGGCGAAGGCGGCUCUCUGGUCUGUAACUGACGCUGAGGCGCGAAAGCGUGGGGAGCGAACAGGAUUAGAUACCCUGGUAGUCCACGCCGUAAACGAUGAGUGCUAAGUGUUAGAGGGUUUCCGCCCUUUAGUGCUGCAGCAAACGCAUUAAGCACUCCGCCUGGGGAGUACGGCCGCAAGGCUG
rnacentral:rRNA from 1 species